CUCCCACCCACGUGUGUAGGACUUCAAAUGAUCACUAUUAAAGUUGGCACAGAUCUCUAUAAAAAUUAUCACAUGGGUGUGAGAUUUGACUUUUCUAGAGAUUUGUACCAACUUUAAUGGUGAUCUUUUGGGGGUCCUACACACAUGGGUGGGAG
rnacentral:pre_miRNA from 1 species